GAUGAACGCUGGCGGCGUGCCUAACACAUGCAAGUCGAGCGAUUCUCUUCGGAGAAGAGCGGCGGACGGGUGAGUAACGCGUGGGUAACCUGCCCUGUACACACGGAUAACAUACCGAAAGGUAUGCUAAUACGAGAUAAUAUGCUUUUAUCGCAUGGUAGAAGUAUCAAAGCUUUUGCGGUACAGGAUGGUCCCGCGUCUGAUUAGCUAGUUGGUAAGGUAACGGCUUACCAAGGCGACGAUCAGUAGCCGACCUGAGAGGGUGAUCGGCCACAUUGGAACUGAGACACGGUUCAAACUCCUACGGGAGGCAGCAGUGGGGAAGAUUGCACAAUGGGCGAAAGCCUGAUGCAGCAACGCCGCGUGAGCGAUGAAGGCCUUCGGGUCGUAAAGCUCUGUCCUCAAGGAAGAUAAUGACGGUACUUGAGGAGGAAGCCCCGGCUAACUACGUGCCAGCCGCCGCGGUAA
rnacentral:rRNA from 1 species